UCCUCCCGUUGUUGAGGAGGCUGGCAAGAAGGGAGGCAAGAAGAAGGGUGGUUCUAUGCAGACUGUGUCCUCACAGUUUAGGGAGAACUUGGGCAAACUGAUGACUAACUUGAGGAGCACCCAUCCUCACUUUGUGCGCUGCCU